GUGGGUGUGGCCUAGCGGUUAAGGCGCCAGAUUGUGGAUCUGGAUAUCGCGGGUUCGAAUCCCGUCAUCCACC
rnacentral:tRNA from 2 species